UUUUCCUUUGAGGAGGUGGCCGUGUAUUUCACCGAGGCCGAGUGGGCCUUGCUGGCUCCUGGCCAAAGAGAUCUCUACAGGGACGUCAUGCUGGAGAACUACAGGAGCGUGGCCUCUCUGGGAGCAGAUGUAGAGGAGACAGCUGGAGAAUUCCAGAGGUUCUCUUUAGAAAAAAUCAAGAAUAAAGAUGCCGAAGGACACUUUGGAGAUGGAGAUGGACCCCAGAGGCAAGAGGGAAGCCAAGCAGCAGGGGAUGGUCAGAGGAAUGAGGAGGAUGAGGA